rnacentral:rRNA from 1 species
AUUGAACGCUGGCGGCAUGCCUUACACAUGCAAGUCGAACGGUAACAGGUCUUCGGAUGCUGACGAGUGGCGAACGGGUGAGUAAUAUAUCGGAACGUGCCCAGUCGUGGGGGAUAACGCAGCGAAAGCUGUGCUAAUACCGCAUACGAUCUAUGGAUGAAAGCGGGGGAUCGCAAGACCUCGCGCGAUUGGAGCGGCCGAUAUCAGAUUAGGUAGUUGGUGGGGUAAAGGCCUACCAAGCCAACGAUCUGUAGCUGGUCUGAGAGGCCGACCAGCCACACUGGAACGGAGACACGGGCCAGACGCCUACGGGAGGCAGCAGUGGGGAAUUUUGGACAAUGGGCGCAAGCCUGAUCCAGCAAUGCCGCGUGCAGGAUGAAGGCCUUCGGGUUGUAAACUGCUUUUGUACGGAACGAAAAGGCUCUGGUUAAUACCUGGGGCUCAUGACGGUACCGUAAGAAUAAGCACCGGCUAACUACGUGCCAGCCGCCGCAGUAA